GACGAACGCUGGCGGCGUGCCUAAUACAUGCAAGUUGAGCGCUGAAGGUUGGUACUUGUACCAACUGGAUGAGCAGCGAACGGGUGAGUAACGCGUGGGGAAUCUGCCUUUGAGCGGGGGACAACAUUUGGAAACGAAUGCUAAUACCGCAUAAAAACUUUAAACACAAGUUUUAAGUUUGAAAGAUGCAAUUGCAUCACUCAAAGAUGAUCCCGCGUUGUAUUAGCUAGUUGGUGAGGUAAAGGCUCACCAAGGCGAUGAUACAUAGCCGACCUGAGAGGGUGAUCGGCAACAUUGGGACUGAGACACGGCCCAAACUCCUACGGGAGGAAGCAGUAGGGAAUCUUCGGCAAUGGACGAAAGUCUGACCGAGCAACGCCGCGUGAGUGAAGAAGGUUUUCGGAUCGUAAAACUCUGUUGGUAGAGAAGAACGUUGGUGAGAGUGGAAAGCUCAUCAAGUGACGGUAACUACCCAGAAAGGGACGGCUAACUACGUG
rnacentral:rRNA from 1 species